rnacentral:sRNA from 1 species
AGAGCAUAUGAUAUCGAUAGUAGUGGAAUAGGGCAAACCCUAAUGAAGCCUGUUAUAUUUUAGCUUGAAGUAAAAGUCUAAGCCUGUAACUCGAUCCGUCAGUGUGAUGAAUUGCAUCUUUUCCAUUGGUCGCUAGUCUGAAACGUGACAUUAUAAGUCGGAUAAAAACGUAUGAUUGCACCAAAAAAUUCUAAUGUGUUGUCAGACGUUCUUCUCUCUCCUACUCCAGCUUUCCUGGGAGUUGGAACACUUGGCUAUGCGUGAGAACGAGUUUAAAGAAAUUUACCUGGAGCUGAGUAAUCAAUGUAAGUGCUACUCCUGCGAUCUCCUAGACCUCUGUAGGAGCACGGAGGAAGUUAUCGCCGUUUUGAAUAAGCAGUCUGACUCGGACUCCGAAGACGACGAGGACGAAGAAAACUCAGACAAACUUACCUUAGCUCGUCUAAAGUUAGCACUAAAAUAUGAACAAAAGCAGUUUAUAGCGCACCCUAACUGUCAACAACUGCUAACAUCCAUCUGGUACGAGGGUUUACCUGUUUGGCGACGGUGGAAUGGUGUGAUGAAGAUUUUUAUGUGUUUUGGAUUGAUUACCUGUAUGCCCCUGAUAGCGCUCUAUUACUUGACGUUUCCUAUGUCCAAACUAGGUCGUGUCGUCCGAUCACCCUUCAUGAAAUUUAUCUAUCACAGUGCCUCGUUUGGAUUUUUUCUUUUACUGCUGGUUUUAGCUUCCACACGUCUGGAGGGGUCAGAGCGGUCAAAGCAGAAUAUUCGUGGACCUCCUCCCUCCUUGAUCGAGUGGUUGGUUUUCUUUUGGGUCACAGGGAUGGUUUGGGCGGAGUGCAAACAACUGUGGGAGGAAGGAAUCAAGGCCUAUGUCCGACAGUGGUGGAACUGGUUAGACUUUAUCAUGCUAUCUCUCUUCCUUACCGCUUUCUCCCUCAGGGCAAUGUCCUUCUUCCUGAUCCAAAGCGAACAGUAUGGACCUCGAAUACUGGAACGUGCUCGCUGGCCCAACAAUGAUCCCACUCUCAUUGCUGAAGGCGUGUUUGCCAUGGCUAACGUUUUUAGCUUCGCAAGGAUUAUCUACCUGUUCCAGACUAACCCUCAUCUCGGACCUCUACAAAUCUCUCUAGGAUGUAUGAUCAUUGACAUCGCCAAGUUUCUUUUCAUCUUCUUUUUAGUACUGACGUCUUUCGCCUGUGGUCUGAAUCAGCUCUACUGGUACUAUGAUACUGACAGCGAAAUUUGUGACACUAAAGUGAUCGGUGGUGAGAACGUCACUGUUAAUUGUCAGCGCAAUACAGAUGCCUUCAUAACCAUAGACUCCAGCUACACAACGUUGUUGUGGUCUUUAUUUGGUGUAAUUCCUAUCAAGGACCUGAAAGCCAGAGAGGAUCAAGCCUUUACCAAGUGGGUGGGACAAGCUCUCUUGGGAGCUUAUAUGAUCAUGGCUAUGACGGUUAUGAUUAACAUGCUGAUUGCAAUGAUGAGUCGCUCCUUUCAAGAUAUAGAGGAUCAUGCAGACAGAGAGUGGAAGUUCGCACGUUCCAAGCUGUGGAUGGGUUACUUCGACGAAGGAUCCACUCUUCCACCUCCGUUCAAUAUCAUAAUCAGUCCAAAGUCUAUCUUAUACUUUAUACGAGGACUUAAACAUCUCUGUGUGACCAUGUUCGGUAAGGCUUCCUUGAGGCGCCAGUCUACUCGUAAUACUAAAGCAGGUAUCAAGCACGAACACCCAACAGUUGCCUACAUCGGCGAUCCUGACGAGAAGAAGUACUCCAAGGACUCACCAAGCCUAAACGGUUCUACUAUGCAAGUAGUCCCGACUUCUAACGGAAGUAGCGUCAACUACCAGGAGGUGAUGAAACGGUUAGUAAGUCGUUAUAUUCACCAGACCAAGAAGCAACUUCGUCAGGAUGGAGUGAACGAGGAUGAUUUACUAGAGAUUAAACAAGACAUCUCAAGUUUACGGUAUGAGCUUCGAGAAGACAGAAAACGUGAAGCAGCUAGGAACAGUUGCCAGAUUGAAAGCAUCAAGAGAGACAUCAUCCGCUCACUCAGAGGCAACCAAGCGUGGAGCAAUAGCCAGGGAGUGAUUCAGCCAAGUCCAGAAUCCAAUCAAGACCUACAGUUUGGCUUGUCUUACUAUGAACUAGAAAACCUCAAGCGAGAAAUUGUUUCUAGUUUAAGAGAGGAAAUCAGAGGAGUGUUAAGAGAAGUAACGCAAACAAGGGCGCCCUCUAUUGGCCCGAAUAUGAAUUCAGACCUUUAUCAAACACACCUGUACACACAACUCUGAAUGAUGGCAGAUUUACAUAAAUGCUGAUCCCAUCCACUUAAACAUAAUUAUUAACUUAAACAUCUUGAGUAAUAACAAAGUUAAGAGAGAGGCUUGUCAAUCUAGCUUAAUAAUUGCUAUAUAUAAAACUAUAUAACAAAUUAUUUGUAUAAAACUAUAUAACAAAUGCUGUGUAACAAUGUAUCAAAUGAACUAUCUACGUGUAGAUUAUUUUGAAAAAGCACUACAAUUUUAAGAUAUAUUUGGAGCUUACUAACACUGACUUGGAGAAGAGUUCCGACGUGGUUUAUUUGAGAGGAGGCUUUUGUUUAUCAGUCAGUUAAAAAAAAAAUUGAUUUGUAGAUGUGAAAUAUGAAUGCCUUCUAGUGACAAUUUGUGUCAUCUGGAUAUACAACACCAUUUGUUAGUUCUGAAGUAUAAGUUAGUGUUGUGUGAUAUCGUUAUUAUUUGCGGAGUAAUAAUGUUGUAUUUGACUGAACUAUUCUACAAAGAAAUAAAGUAGUCCUUAAUAAGAUA